rnacentral:rRNA from 1 species
AUUGAACGCUGGCGGCAGGCUUAACACAUGCAAGUCGAGCGGAAACGAUGGUAGCUUGCUACCAGGCGUCGAGCGGCGGACGGGUGAGUAAUACUUAGGAAUCUACCUAGUAGUGGGGGAUAGCUCGGGGAAACUCGAAUUAAUACCGCAUACGACCUACGGGAGAAAGGGGGCAACUUGUUGCUCUCGCUAUUAGAUGAGCCUAAGUCGGAUUAGCUAGAUGGUGGGGUAAAGGCCUACCAUGGCGACGAUCUGUAGCUGGUCUGAGAGGAUGAUCAGCCACACCGGGACUGAGACACGGCCCGGACUCCUACGGGAGGCAGCAGUGGGGAAUAUUGGACAAUGGGGGCAACCCUGAUCCAGCCAUGCCGCGUGUGUGAAGAAGGCCUUUUGGUUGUAAAGCACUUUAAGCAGUGAAGAAGACUCUAUGGUUAAUACCCAUAGACGAUGACAUUAGCUGCAGAAUAAGCACCGGCUAACUCUGUGCCAGCAGCCGCGGUAAUACAGAGGGUGCAAGCGUUAAUCGGAAUUACUGGGCGUAAAGCGAGCGUAGGUGGCUUGAUAAGUCAGAUGUGAAAUCCCCGGGCUUAACCUGGGAACUGCAUCUGAUACUGUUAGGCUAGAAUAGGUGAGAGGAAGGUAGAAUUCCAGGUGUAGCGGUGAAAUGCGUAGAGAUCUGGAGGAAUACCGAUGGCGAAGGCAGCCUUCUGGCAUCAUAUUGACACUGAGGUUCGAAAGCGUGGGUAGCAAACAGG